UAACAGGAGGUUUGAUCCUGGCUCAGAUUGAACGCUGGCGGGAUGCUUUACACAUACCGUGUCGAACGGCAGCACGGACUUCGGUCUGGUGGCGAGUGGCGAACGGGUGAGUAAUGUCUUAUCCGGAACGUGCCUAGUAGCGGGGGAUAACUACGCGAGCAUUAUCGCUCUCUCCUGCCCUUCGGGAAAAGCGGGGACCUUCGGGCCUCGCACUAUUAGAGCGGCCGAUAUCGGAUUAGCUAGUUGGUGGGGUAACGGCUCACCAGGCGACGAUCCGUAGCUGGUUUGAGAGGACGACCAGCCACACUGGGACUGAGACACGGCCCAGACUCGGGAGGCAGCAGUGGGAAAUUUUUUGGACAAUGGGGAAACCCUGAUCCAGCCAUCCCGCGUGUGCGAUGAAGGCUUCGGGUUGUAAAGCACUUUUGGCAGGAAAGAAACGGCGCAGGAUAAUACCCGUGCAACUGACGGUACCUGCGGAAUAAGCACCGGCUAACUACGUGCCCAGCAUAGGUAAUACGUAGGGUGCAAGCGUUAAUCGGAAUUACUGGGCGUAAAGCGUGCGCAGGCGGUUCGGAAGAAAGAUCAGCAGUCCCAGAGCCCAACUUUGGAACUGCAUUUUUAACUACCGAGCUAGAGUGUGUGUCAGAGGAGGUGGAAUUCCGCGUGUAGCAGUGAAAUGCGUGAACAUGGAGAACCACCGAUGGCGAAGGCAACCUCCUGGGAUAACUGACAUGUGCGAAAGCGUGGGAGCAAACAGGAUUAGAUACCCUGGUAGUCCACGCCUAAACGAUGUCAACUAGCUGUUGGGGCCUUCGGGCCUUGGUAAGCGCAGCUAACGCGUGGUUGACCUUGCGCCUGGGGAGUACGGUCGCAAGGUACGCUCAAAGGAAUUGACGGGGACCCGCACAAGCGGUGGAUGAUGUGGAUUAAUUCGAUGCAACGCGAAAAACCUUACCUACCCUUGACAUGUCUGGAAUCCCGAAGAGAUUGGGAGUGCUCGCAAGAGAACCGGAACACAGGUGCUGCAUGGCUGUCGUCAGCUCGUGUCGUGAGAUGUUGGGUUAAGUCCCGCAACAGGCACAGCAUAUCAUGGUUGCUGCGAAAGGGCACUCUAAUGAGACUGCCGGUGACAAACCGGAGGAAGGUGGGGAUGACGUCAAGUCCUCAUGACCGCUCAUCGGGUAGAAGCCGUCUUCAAAUGAUCCGGGACGGGGAAUUAUGAACCCGCGAGGGGGAGCCAAUCCCAGAAACCCGAUCGUAGUCGGAUCGCAGUCUGCAACUCGACUGCGUGGUCAGAUGUGCCCUGCAAAUAAUCGCACGGAUCAGCAUGUGCGGUGAAUACGUUCCCGGGUCUUGUACACACCGCCCGUCACACCAUGGGAGUGGGUUUUACCAAGUAGUUAGCCUAACCGUAAGAGGGCGAUUACCACGGUAGGAUUCAUGACUGGGGUGAAGUGUACAAGGUAG
rnacentral:rRNA from 1 species